AAACCGCCCCUAAGUUUUGCACCUGUGGCAGUUUUGGCCCCAAGGCCAAUUUUGACUCUGUCUACGCUAACGUGACACCUCAAAAAAUGACAUGUGGCACCUCACUUAAGUGAUGUGAGUGCCACAUCAGCGUAGAUCGAGUCAAAAUUGGUCUUGGGGGCCAAAACUGCCACAGGGGCAAAACUUAGGGGGCGGUUU
rfam:Medicago truncatula strain A17 chromosome 7, whole genome shotgun sequence.